rnacentral:rRNA from 1 species
CUACGGGUUGCAGCAGUGAGGAAUAUUGCACAAUGGGGGGAACCCUGAUGCAGCAACGCCGCGUGGAGGAUGACGCAUUUCGGUGUGUAAACUCCUUUUAUAUGUCAAGAAAAUGACGGUAGCAUAUGAAUAAGCACCGGCUAACUCCGUGCCAGCAGCCGCGGUAAUACGGAGGGUGCAAGCGUUACUCGGAAUCACUUGGCGUAAAGGACGCGUAGGCGGGCUUGUAAGUCAGGUGUGAAAUCCUACAGCUUAACUGUAGAACUGCACUUGAAACUACGAGCCUAGAGUAUGGGAGGGGGAGAUGGAAUUAGUGGUGUAGGGGUAGAAUCCGUAGAUAUCACUAGGAAUACCUAAAGCGAAGGCGAUCUCCUGGAACAUAACUGACGCUAAGGCGUGAAAGCGUGGGGAGCAAACAGGAUUAGAUACCCCGGUAGUC